CUAGCCCUCCCAACAGCUAGCCCCCAACCUCAAGCCCAACAAACAACAUUAAUAAACCCACACCCCCAAUUUAGAAACAACAAACCAUUUUACCACCCUAGUAUAGGCGAUAGAAAAG
rnacentral:rRNA from 1 species